GUUGGCAAAAGAAUAAAUCUGAAAAGCAGCAAUGACAGUGGAAGAAAACAAACAUGAAUGAUAUCUGGGGAAGCAGAAGCAAUGAUGUUGGCUUUCAGAAGCGGGUUUUGCUGGGCUCAGGGGCAUGAAGACUGCUCUGGAAAUAGGCACCUCCUACCGGCUUCCUCUCGAGGCUUCCAUGGAAAUUGUCUCCCUCCCUUCUCCUGCAAGCAGACAGCUGCAGUUUUGCCUCUUGGUGUGGUUUCCUCACACUACUCCCUGGGAAGUGCAAUAUGAUUUCCCCACAGAGCAGAUGGAAAGCUAGCUGGAGUCGCCCUUGCUCUGUGCAGCUCUCCCUCAGCUCAGCUCUGCCAGGGCCUGGUAAUGCAAACAAGCCUGGCUCCCCAAUGCCCGGCAGCCAGCAGCCAGUCAGCCUUGCCAACGCCCUGACGUGUAGCCACCACCAAAGCAUCACGAGCCAAGUUAAAGAAGCACUUGCAGCUUCUCUUUUGGACACCCAGAGGCUGAACGGUAACCCUAGAGGAGGACUUCACAGCGACAGCCUGGACAUGCUGGACACAGGGAUGACUCGCAUCCCAGAUGGGACCACGGGAGACUUCAUCAUGCUAUGCAGAAUACCCUGCAAUUCGAAGCUUAUAAAUUGUUUGCUUCUGGAAUUCUCUAUUUAUUAUUUUCAGACUGCCAGCGACUAUACAUUAGUGACACUGCAAAGAACAAACCCACAGGUAAGGGAGGACUACUGUACCUCCUUUUCGAUUUCUUAACAGCAAGACUUUUUAGCUCGGCUGAAGCUUAAUACUUUAAAAAAUCAAUUGCUGAGUCUAUCUUUUCUUAGGGAGAUGCAGCAAGUACACCGCCACUAUGAAGAUUCAGUGUGCUAAAUCAGUACACUGCAAGUAGUUUACGUGGCCAGUUCUG
rnacentral:lncRNA from 1 species